rnacentral:rRNA from 1 species
UACGGGGGGGGCAAGCGUUGUUCGGAAUUACUGGGCGUAAAGGGCUCGUAGGCGGCCAACUAAGUCGGACGUGAAAUCCCCAGGCUCAACCUGGGAACUGCGUCCGAUACUGGAUGGCUUGAAUCCGGGAGAGGGAUGCAGAAUUCCUGGUGUAGCGGUGGAAUGCGCAGAUAUCAGGAGGAACACCGGUGGCGAAGGCGGGUCUCUGGGCAGUAACUGACGCUGAGGAGCGAAAGCGUGGGGAGCGAACAGG